rnacentral:rRNA from 1 species
GAUGAACGCUGGCGGCGUGCCUAAUACAUGCAAGUCGAGCGAACAGACGAGGAGCUUGCUCCUCUGACGUUAGCGGCGGACGGGUGAGUAACACGUGGAUAACCUACCUAUAAGACUGGGAUAACUUCGGGAAACCGGAGCUAAUACCGGAUAAUAUAUUGAACCGCAUGGUUCAAUAGUGAAAGACGGUUUUGCUGCCACUUAUAGAUGGAUCCGCGCCGCAUUAGCUAGUUGGUAAGGUAACGGCUUACCAAGGCAACGAUGCGUAGCCGACCUGAGAGGGUGAUCGGCCACACUGGAACUGAGACACGGUCCAGACUCCUACGGGAGGCAGCAGUAGGGAAUCUUCCGCAAUGGGCGAAAGCCUGACGGAGCAACGCCGCGUGAGUGAUGAAGGUCUUCGGAUCGUAAAACUCUGUCAUUAGGGAAGAACAAAUGUGUAAGUAACUAUGCACGUCUUGACGGUACCUAAUCAGAAAGCCACGGCUAACUACGUG